UUGGUUAAUAUUAAAAAUAAAUCCAUUUUUUUAUUUUCUUAAUUGACGACGUCACUAGUCAUUAUCUUUCCUUGCUUUAAGUACAUUUGUAAAUAUCAAGGUUAAUUAACAAUUUUUUUAAUCCAUUUAGUAGAUUAAAAUUGCAUAAACGCACCUACGCACGCCUUACGUAAGCACCCAAUUUAAUGUGGUAAAGUUACAGAGGUAAUAGUAGUUUUCUGUUCUGCGUAAAGUGUCAGGAAGGAUUUACUAGUCGUGUGCUUGUCAGAGUAUUUCGUUUUUAGAAAGCUUUACUAUUUCCGUUUAGAAUAUUCAGCUUCGUGAACUUGAACAUAAUCAAUAGUCAUACUCACUUGUGAAACGCGUCGAUUAACAACAGGAGUCGAAGAUGGAGGAAAUCCACAUCCAAAUAGAAGACAGUUCGCCUUCAAUAGAGCACACCUUACGUCCAAUAACGUACACUUCCUGGCUCAUGGGAGUCGGCGUUGCACAUCCGCGCAAAUGCCACAAGAGUGUCACGAUAAUUCUACGUAUAGUUUAUUUAGUUUUGUGUUGUAUUAUUAUGAAAUCCGACAUGACAAAUUUCUUCACCUUUGGCAGCGCGGUCGCUAUUAAAGGCGACAUAUUCGAGUUGAUGUGCUUAAUAAACCUGAUGAUAAUUUACGUAUCUACGUAUUACUACAUUUAUCAAGGGAUCAGGCAAUACGGCAAGUGGCCGGAGCUAAUGGACAGAAUAAAGGAGCUUGAUGAGAAGAUCAGAAUGGAAACAUUUAUGAAUGACCGGCCAGUAAAAAAUGUGGAAGCGCUAGCGAUUCUGACGACAUUCGCUUGGUGUACUUUAACCCUAAUUGUGCACGUCUUGUAUUAUUACUUUACAAAUCCCAAUUUAAUCUUCGAAACUGACUUAAUGUAUUACUUCAUGUCCACCCAAUCCCUGAUCAACAGUUUUGUCUUCGACAUUCUUGUCUAUGUGGUGUAUUACAGAUUCCAAACGAUAAAUAAAUUGAUUGGCCAAUUGAAUGAGCUAUCGAAUACGCCGUGGGUCGCGUAUAAGAUCAGACGCAUCCGAGAAAUGCAUAAUGGUAUCUGUGACCUCGUCAUCAUGAUAAGCGAUAUUCACGGGUUUUAUCUCCUUUUCUGUUCGGUGAACUGCCUCACCAUGGUCAUAUCUACACUAAUCAACAUCUACAUAGCAAUCGUGGAGAAAAACAGCACGUUUAUAUUGUCAACUAAUGGUUUUACGAUUCUGUACACCACGCAAUUUGGCCUGAUGUGCUGGAUUUGCACGCUCGCGCGUCGAGAAUUCGAGAAGACCGGGAUAAUUAUAUACGCAAUAUUACUGCAUUCCAAACCUGGGCAUCUUGAUAAACUAAACGGGACGAGGAAUCAAUCGAAUCUAGAUGUGCGAACGCCACUGGAAGGUCCGGAUAGCGAGCAAAAUUCUAAUUGGAGUAGCGGUAACAGUUUGAACAACGUCAUCAUAGAACAUCUCUUACGUAAAAACUUGGUCCGUGAUUGUGUCAGAAACGAGAUCAACGAUUUUUUGAUUCAAUUGCAACAUCGUCGAGUAGUAUUUACGGUCUGUGAUUACUUCGAAAUGGGUAAUGCUUUAUUCUGUGGCUUUAUUGGAGUGAUUUUUGCUUAUUUAGUAAUCUUCAUUCAAUUCUAUCAACGACCCGGAAACAAAAACGAACGUUUAUGGAAUAUAGCUAACGACACGCAUUCUGAUGUGUCAGAAUUGUAAUUGUAAUAUAGUGUGUUAUUCUUUACUCUUACGUGAAACAUCAAGGAGAAUUCACGAUGCACAUUUGUCAGAGUGUUUUGCUUUUAGAAGAAACUUAUAUUUUUUUACAAAAUAGUCUGCAUCGGAUACAAAAUAUUUUGUACGGGAAACUUUAAUAUAACAGCAGCCAUAUUUGCUUGCAAAAUGAGUCACUUAAGAAGAAAAUAAGAAGUAAAAUUAAGAACAAUGUUUGCCAAGAAAAUAAUUUGCCAUAGAAAGGGUAUACUUUACGUCCAGUAUCACAACUAUAAGAAAGAUUUUAGGAUAUAAUGCUAUUAUUCUUCAAUCUAUCAUAAAUAGAAUCGAUAUAACACCAAUCAUAUUAAUUAUCAAAGAAGAAAUAUUUUAUUCUUAAUUGGAAAUCUCUGAAAUGUAGAAUAAAUUAAUGAUUUUAAUGAUAUCUUACUAAUUUUUUAAGAAUAAUUUAGUACAUCUGUGACAAUCUUAUGAUAUUCUAGAUUUAGAUUUUAGAAUAGACCGAUUUGAAGAAUAGAUCUAAAAAUCUGAUCUUAAUAUUUCUGGAAGGGUUAAGUUCAUUACACCAAUACUGACACUAACACGUUAACGUAUAACGUAUAAUUUUCUUGUUCCUGCAUGUUAUUUCUGUAUAAAAGUAAUAGAACAAUGGUAUGGCUCAUCGGCUUUAAUAAUAAAAAGAGCGACGUCUUCGUUCUGUUAUAACUGCUCACGUUGUUGUUAUCAACAAAAGACGAUAGCAUAUAUGUUCGCAUUAAAUAUUAUGGUGCUAACAUCGUGCGUUAUAAAAUCGAGCAAAGACUUAUUCUAAACGUAAAAAUAUAUAAGUUUAAAAUUAUAUAUAUGUUACUCUUGUCUGAAAAUAAUAAAUUUUACUUAAUUCAAAAAAGAAGAAUAGGAAUUAGUGAUGUAAUCUUAAUAUUGUUUUAUGUUUAUACUGCAUGAGAUUACAAUAAAAUUAAAUAUAUCAAAAGUAUUUUUUGUCUUAAUAUCAGAAAUCCUUUUUAAGAGGACAUAUACAUCUUGAUUUAUGGACAUAAGCGUUAUACAUUUUCAAAAAUUUUUAAAAGCUAUGAUGAUAAUCAUAUGUAGUGUUCAUUCAUGCAUAUUGUUAGCGCGAUGUACAUGAUUUCUUUACAUUUGAUAUCACUUAUCGAUAUCACUAUUCGAUAUCACUGACAGUGAUAUAUUAUGAACGUUUUUGACAGCGAUAUAUUUAAGUUAAUAUAUACUGUAUGAACAGCGUGAUGUGUUGCAUGUCGGCGUAUUACUACGUUUCACAUAUGAUUACGAGAUCAGGCAGUACGACAAGUGGUCAGAGCUGAUGGACAGAAUAAAAAAGAUUGAUUAGAAGAUUAGGAGAGAAACACCCAUGAGUGACCAGCCAAUAAAAGAUAUGGAAAUGUUGAAGAUUUUGGCAACAUUUACUUGAUGUUCUUUAUUUCUGAUCGUUCAUGCCUUGUAUUAUUAUUUCAUAAAUCCGCUAUAUAUUUCUCUAUCCGACUUGCUUUAUUACAUAUUAACGUAGUUGUUGAUCAAUAAUUUUUGUCUUUAAUAUUACCGUCUAUUUAUUGUAUUACAGAUUUCAUAAAGGAACUAAUCGGCCAGUUGAAUGAGUUAUCUCGUGCCUUGAUCUCAAGAUUAGACGCAUCAGGAUUGGACAAUGGGAAGUGGUUUUUUGUGAACAUUAUCUUUUGUAUUAUUAUAAUUGAAGUGUAUAUGUAUGGCCCAAAAUGUAGUUUAAUACAAAUUAUAAAAAGAUAAUAAUAUCAAAUCGAAAUGUCAAAUCGUAAACUGUAUACAGGUAUUUGUGAACUUGUCAUGGUAAACAAUAUUCAUGAUUUUUAUUUCUUUUUUUACUCGGUAAAAUGUUUUAGCGUAAUUGUAGCAACUAUUAGAAUUGUUUAUUUAUUUAAAAUCGACAUGCGCGUCAUAAAGAAGAAUUUUGUGUUUAUACAAUUACGUAGUAUGCUUCGUAUUUUAUAUGUCACGUAAUUUAAUUUAAAAUCUUAUAUCAUUGAUGAUUAUCUCUUUUUGUAAUCUUCUUUGCAAUAUUAUUAUAUCCUGCUUACACUUGUACGUCCCAAGCUUAAUUAACUAUUUUACUAAAUGUAUUUAAUUUAUUAAAACCGUUUGUAUGAAGAGCAACUGGCAUACCCUCUAAUGUUGCUAAAGUAAUACGUCGUUUUUUAUUCAGCGUAAAGCACCAGAGAGAUACAACGCGCUUGCUUGUCAGAAUAUUUUGCUUUUUAUCUGCUAUUUUCUGUAAAAUAAUUGCGAGAAACUUUAAAAUAAUUAACAACCAUACUUGUUUGCAAAACACGUUCGAUUAGUGUAAAAUACGAGGAAAAAUGGAGGAACAGGUGCAUGUGAAAGUGGAAGACAACUCAUCUUCGAUAGAGCACAUCUUAUGUCCAAUAACGUAUAUCUCGUGGUUCCUGGGAGUCGGUAUUGCACAUCCGGGCAAAUGCCGCAAGAGUGUUACAAUAGUCUUACGUAUAAUUCAUGUGGCUUUGUGGUUUAUUAAUAUGAGAUUCGAUUUAAUGAACGUUUACUUUAUUUUCAUACUUACUACUGAAACCGACAUAUUCUACCUCACGUUCAUUAUACAAUUAGUGAUAAUCCACGUAUCUACGUUUUACUACAUUUAUCAAGGGAUCAAGCAAUACGACAAAUGGUCAGAACUAAUGAAUAAAAUAAAGGAGCUUGAUCAAAAGAUUAGGAUGGAAAUACUUAUAAAUGACCGGCCAGUAAAAAAUGUGGAAGCGCUAGCAAUUCUAGCAACAUUCGUUUGGUGUCCAUUGUCCCUGAUUGUGUACUUCUUGUAUAAUUAUUUUACAAAACGAUAUACGAUUACCAGAAUUGAGUUUAUAUAUUACUUCAUGUCAAUCCAGUCGUUGAUUAACAGCUUCGUCUUCGACAUUAUCGUCUAUGUGCUGUAUUACAGAUUCCAAAUGGUAAAUAAAUUAAUCGCACAAUUAAAUCAGCUAUAUGAUGCGCCAUGGAUCGCGCAGAGGAUCAGACGCAUCCGAAAAAUCCAUAAUGGUAAGUUUUUAAAACUAUUAUCUCUUGUGUUGUCGUAAUUUAAGAUGCAGUUCAAGAUACAGUUUACUACAAUUUAUGUAAAAAAUUGUAAUGAUACCAAGAUGUAAAUUGUAAUAGAAUCGUAAAUUUUGGGUUUUGCAGGUAUUUGUGACCUCGUCAUCAUGGUACGCGAUAUUCACGGACUUUAUCUCCUCUUCUUCUCGCUGAAUUGUUUCACCACGGUUGUAUUUAUACUACUUACAAUCUACGCAGACAGUACGGAGGCGGGCAACUUAUCUAUAUUGCCAAUUGGCCUUAUUAUUCUGUACAUUACGCAAUUUGGUUUGAUGUGUUGGAUUUGCACCCUUGCGCGUCAAGAAUUCGACAAGACCGUGAUAAUUAUAUACGAAAUUGUACUGAAUUGCAAAUCUGCGAAUCCUGAUGAACUAAACGGGACAAAAAAUCAAUCGAAUCUAGAUGUAGGAACGCCACCGGAUAGCGAGCAAAAUUCUUGGAGUAGCAGUCACAACCUGAACAUUGUCGUCAUGGAACAUCUCUUACGCAAAAGCUUAGUUCGUGACUGUGUCAGAAACGAGAUCAAUGACUUUUUGAUUCAACUGCUACAUCGUCGAGUAGUAUUUACAGUUUGCGACUUCUUCGAAAUGAGUAAUGCUCUAUUCUGUGGUUUUAUUGGAGUGAUCAUUGCUUAUUCAGUGGUCGUCAUUCAAUUUUAUAAACGACCCGAUGAUCUAAACGAAAACUUAGUCGAACGUUUAUGGAAGUUAGCUAUGAAGAAACAUUCUAAUGUGUCAGAAUUGCAACAGUAAUAUGUCGUUCUUUAUUUUUACGUGAAACAUCAAGGUAAAUUUAUAAUGCGCGUUUGUCAAUAUUUUGGUUUCAGAAAAACUUUAAUUACUUUUUCCGCAAAUAUUAUGCAAAAUAUCGGAUACAAAAUAUUAUAUAUAAGAAACUUUAAUGUAAUAGCGACCAUAUUUGUUUGCAAAAUGAGUCGUUUAAAAAGAAAAUAAAAGGUGAAAUGGAGAAGAAUGUACCAAGAAGGCAAUUUGCAGCGAAAGAGCAAACUUUAUGUCUAAUAGUAUUAAAUAUUAUACACGUAUGAGAAUUAUUCUAAAAGUUAUAAGAAUAAUUAUAUAUAUUUUUCGUCUGGACGUGCGUACCGUUAGCGUAGUGUAUGACACGAUACAUUUUUCUUUGAUAUCACUUAUGUUUUUGACAGAGAUAUAUUCGUGUAUCGAGUGUACGUAUUUAUGUAUUGUAUAAUUCGAUGUGUUACAUAUUAACAUAUUACUACAUUUCACGUUCAAUCAUGAGAUCAGGCACUGAUAAGUGAUCGAAGCUGAUAGGCAGAAUAAAGAAGCUCGAUCACAAGAUCAAGAGAGAAAUAAUUAUGAUCGGCUAAUAAAAACACAUGAAAGUGCUAAAGAUUCCGGCAACAAUCGACUUGAUGUCCUUAUUUCUCCGCCGCGUGCACGCUCUGUAUUAUUAUUUUUUAAAUACGGAAUACAUUUUACAUUCAACUUGCUUAAUAUGUUAACGUAGUCAUUAAUUAAUAGCUUUGUCUUCGAAAUUGUCGUCUAUGUGUGAUAUCAUAUUACAAAUAAACUAAUCAGUCAGUUGAAUUAAGCUAUUCUGUGGUUUGCAAGCAAGAUUAGACGCAUCAGAGAAUUGCAUAAUGAUAUAUUUCUUGUAGUCCUUUUAUUGUAAUUAUUGUAAUUUAAGUGUAUAUGUAUGGCUUAAAAUGUGGUUUAGUACUAUGAAAAGAUUCUAAUAAUAUCAAGACAUAGUCGAAUUGUAAACUAUAAUAUAUGCAGAUAUUUGUGAUCUCGUAAUGAUAAACGAUAUUAAUGCGGUCUUCAUUUGUUUAUUAAAGUAUAGUGUAAUGGAUAAAUAAAUAAUUUAUUAAUUAAAUUAUAUUAAAACUCUAAAUGUAUACAAUUAUUUCCUUAGCCUAAACUUAAUCUAUGGUAGUUUAAAGAUUCGGUCGCUGUUUCCUGUUUCUCUCUCUCCUUUAAAUCUUGCUUGCAUAUCUCACAUCUUUAUCUUUUCAGUCUUCUAUUUUUUUCCUUUUCCUCUAUUCCGCUUACCUUAUGGACAUUUGUUUCCAUUAAAUUUUGUUUUAUUUAUUUUAUCCUUUUUGUAUAUUCCAUUCAAUUAUUUUUUAUUUGU
rnacentral:misc_RNA from 1 species